AGCCGCCGCGGUAAUACGUAGGUCCCGAGCGUUGUCCGGAUUUAUUGGGCGUAAAGCGAGCGCAGGCGGUUAGAUAAGUCUGAAGUUAAAGGCUGUGGCUUAACCAUAGUACGCUUUGGAAACUGUUUAACUUGAGUGCAAGAGGGGAGAGUGGAAUUCCAUGUGUGGCGGUGAAAUGCGUAGAUAUAUGGAGGAACACCGGUGGCGAAAGCGGCUCUCUGGCUUGUAACUGACGCUGAGGCUCGAAAGCGUGGGGAGCAAACAGGAUUAGAUACCCCAGUAGUCCCUGUCUCUUAUACAC
rnacentral:rRNA from 1 species